CGUCAAUCCAUGUCAUCAUGUAACAACUCUCCUUGGUCCUGUAACAACUCUCCUUGGUCCUGUAACAACUCUCCUUGGUCCUGUAACAACUCUCCUUGGUCCUGUAACAACUCUCCUUGGUCCUGUAACAACUCUCCUUGGUCCUGUAACAACUCUCCUUGGUCCUGGGUUGGCCUCUAGGUGGCUAUCUUGUCUGGGUUGGCCUCUAGGUGGCUGUCUUGUCUGGGUUGGCCUCUAGGUGGCUGUCUUGUCUGGGUUGGCCUCUAGGUGGCUGUCUUGUCUGGGUUGGCCUCUAGGUGGCUGUCUUGUCUGGGUUGGCCUCUAGGUGGCUGUCUUGUCUGGGUUGGCCUCUAGGUGGCUGUCUUGUCUGGGUUGGCCUCUAGGUGGCUGUCUUGUCUGGGUUGGCCUCUAGGUGGCUGUCUUGUCUGGGUUGGCCUCUAGGUGGCUGUCUUGUCUGGGUUGGCCUCUAGGUGGCUGUCUUGUCUGGGUUGGCCUCUAGGUGG